rnacentral:rRNA from 1 species
AGAGUUUGAUCCUGGCUCAGGACGAACGCUGGCGGCGUGCCUAACACAUGCAAGUGGAGCGACGAACCAGGGCUUGCCCUGGGGCCAAGCCGCGAACGGGUGAGUAACACGUGGGUAACCUGCCCCGAUGACCGGGACAACCCGAGGAAACUCGGGCUAAUACCGGAUGUGGUGUACACACUUAAGUGUGUCCACUAAAGGAAGCUUCGGCCUCCGCAUUGGGAUGGGCCCGCGGCCCAUUAGCUAGUUGGUGGGGUAAAGGCCUACCAAGGCAACGAUGGGUAGCUGGUCUGAGAGGACGAUCAGCCACACUGGGACUGAGACACGGCCCAGACUCCUACGGGAGGCAGCAGUGGGGAAUCUUGCGCAAUGCGCGAAAGCGUGACGCAGCAACGCCGCGUGAGGGAAGACGGCCUUCGGGUUGUAAACCUCUUUCAGGAGGGACGAAGGUCCGCCCGCGAAUAGCGAGGCGGAUUGACGGUACCUCCAGAAGAAGCCCCGGCUAACUACGUGCCAGCAGCCGCGGUAAUACGUAGGGGGCAAGCGUUGUCCGGAAUCAUUGGGCGUAAAGCGCGCGUAGGCGGCCCGGUAAGUCCGCUGUGAAAGUCAAAGGCUCAACCUUUGAAUGCCGGUGGAUACUGUCGGGCUAGAGUCCGGAAGAGGCGAGUGGAAUUCCUGGUGUAGCGGUGGAAUGCGCAGAUAUCAUGAGGAACACCAAUAGCGAAGGCAGCUCGCUGGGACGGUACUGACGCUAAGGCGCGAAAGCGUGGGGAGCGAACAGGAUUAGAUACCCUGGUAGUCC